AAGAGGUCUUGGGGAGUGGAUGUAGGUGCUGGGGUGCACCGAACCACUAUAUGUCCUUUGUGUUUGUAAUGCCUCUAGUUAUUGUCUAACUAACACACUUACUUAUUUAGAUAAAUUGCUUGCUUAAUUCUUAUCCGCACAUCCUUUAGUUGCAAGCAUAUUUAAUCAAGUCGAAGUCUAUACAUCAAACCCUUGCUAAGUUUAACUUUCACUGUGCAUCUAUACAACUUAGCAUAGUUAAUCAUAAAGUUUUAGAAGUAGCAUAAAAGUUUUAAAAGACCCAAUUCACCCCCCCUCUUGGCUUGUAUCUACUGGGCAACAAG
rnacentral:lncRNA from 1 species